AGAGAGAUGUAUGGAGAUCAAUAACUUAUCCGAUGCUGCUUCUUAAUUUUCACAUAAAAUAAUCAACCUGAAGACUCUUUGUCCAUUGAUAAAUUGGACCAAAGAGAGAACGAAGAAAGGGGUGAACCAGCCGAACAACUGAUCUCUAUCCCAUUAAAAGAAGAAGAUUCUGAGAAGACGAUCCAAAUUGGAUCGCAGCUG
rnacentral:lncRNA from 1 species